rnacentral:rRNA from 1 species
CCUACGGGAGGCAGCAGUGAGGAAUAUUGGUCAAUGGGCGCAAGCCUGAACCAGCCAAGUCGCGUGAGGGAUGACGGUCCUAUGGAUUGUAAACCUCUUUUGUCGGGGAGCAAGGCCCGCCACGUGUGGCUGGACGGAUAGUACCCGAAGAAUAAGGCUCGGCUAACUCCGUGCCAGCAGCCGCGGUAAUACGGAGGAUCCGAGCGUUAUCCGGAUUUAUUGGGUUUAAAGGGAGCGUAGGCGGGUUGUUAAGUCAGUUGUGAAAGUUUGCGGCUCAACCGUAAAAUUGCAGUUGAUACUGGCAUCCUUGAGUACAGUAGAGGUAGGCGGAAUUCGUGGUGUAGCGGUGAAAUGCUUAGAUAUCACGAAGAACUCCGAUUGCGAAGGCAGCCUGCUGGACUGUAACUGACGCUGAUGCUCGAAAGUGUGGGUAUCAAACAGGAUUAGAUACCCUAGUAGUC